GAGUUUGAUCAUGGCUCAGAACGAACGCUGGCGGCAGGCCUAACACAUGCAAGUCGAGCGCGCCUUCGGGUGAGCGGCGGACGGGUUAGUAACGCGUGGGAACGUGCCCUUCUCUACGGAAUAGCCAUUGGAAACGAUGAGUAAUACCGUAUACGCCCUUCGGGGGAAAGAUUUAUCGGAGAAGGAUCGGCCCGCGUUAGAUUAGAUAGUUGGUGGGGUAAUGGCCUACCAAGUCUACGAUCUAUAGCUGGUUUUAGAGGAUGAUCAGCAACACUGGGACUGAGACACGGCCCAGACUCCUACGGGAGGCAGCAGUGGGGAAUCUUAGACAAUGGGCGCAAGCCUGAUCUAGCCAUGCCGCGUGUGUGAUGAAGGCCCUAGGGUCGUAAAGCACUUUCGCCAGGGAUGAUAAUGACAGUACCUGGUAAAGAAACCCCGGCUAACUCCAUGCCAGCAGCCGCGGUAAUACGGAGGGGGUUAGCGUUGUUCGGAAUUACUGGGCGUAAAGCGCACGUAGGCGGAUUGGAAAGUUGGGGGUGAAAUCCCGGGGCUCAACCCCGGAACUGCCUUCAAAACUCCCAGUCUAGAGUUCGAGAGAGGUGAGUGGAAUUCCGAGUGUAGAGGUGAAAUUCGUAGAUAUUCGGAGGAACACCAGUGGCGAAGGCGGCUCACUGGCUCGA
rnacentral:rRNA from 1 species